GACGAACGCUGGCGGCGUGCUUAACACAUGCAAGUCGUACGGUAAGGCCCUUUCGGGGGUACACUAGUGGCGAACGGGUGAGUAACACUUGAGUAACCUGCCCACAACUUUGGGAUAACGCUAGGAAACUGGUGCUAAUACUGGUUAUGUGCUCCUGCUGCAUGGUGGGGGUUGGAAAGCUCCGGCGGUUGUGGAUGGACUCGCGGCCUAUCGGCUUGUUGGUUGGGUAGUGGCCUACCGAGGCGGCGACGGGUAGCCGGCCUGAGAGGGUGACCGGCCACCUUGGGUCUGAGAGACGGCCCAGACGGCUACGGGAGGCAGAAGUGGGGAAUAUUGAACAAUGGGCGCAAGCCUGAUGCAGAAGCGCCGCGUGCGGGAUGACGGUCUUAGGGUUGUAGAACGCUUUCAGCAGGGACGAAGCUUUUUGUGACGGUACCUGAAGAAGAAGCACCGGCUAACUACGUG
rnacentral:rRNA from 1 species